AUUGAACGCUGGCGGCAGGCUUAACACAUGCAAGUCGAGCGGAGUUGUUGUGCUUGCACCUUAUCUUAGCGGCGGACGGGUGAGUAAUGCUUAGGAAUCUGCCUAUUAGUGGGGGACAACAUUCCGAAAGGAAUGCUAAUACCGCAUACGCCCUACGGGGGAAAGCAGGGGAUCUUCGGACCUUGCGCUAAUAGAUGAGCCUAAGUCGGAUUAGCUAGUUGGUGGGGUAAAGGCCUACCAAGGCGACGAUCUGUAGCGGGUCUGAGAGGAUGAUCCGCCACACUGGGACUGAGACACGGCCCAGACUCCUACGGGAGGCAGCAGUGGGGAAUAUUGGACAAUGGGCGGAAGCCUGAUCCAGCCAUGCCGCGUGUGUGAAGAAGGCCUUUUGGUUGUAAAGCACUUUAAGCGAGGAGGAGGCUACCUGGAUUAAUACUCUAGGAUAGUGGACGUUACUCGCAGAAUAAGCACCGGCUAACUCUGUGCCAGCCGCCGCAGUAACAC
rnacentral:rRNA from 1 species